rnacentral:tRNA from 1 species
GACCCGGAGGCCCGCAAACGGCGCGAGGCGGUGCUCGCGGUGCCGCGCCGGUUGACCGGUAUCGGCGCGGCGUUCGACGCGGCGUCCGCGCUG